UUAAAAAGCUCGUAGUUGGAUCUCAACAGCCUUGNAAGCGGUUAACUUUGUAGUUUUACUGCUUUAUAGGCUGUGCUUUUGCUGGAGGUUUAGGGGUGCUCUUGAUCGAGUGUCUCUGGAUGCCAGCAGGUUUACUUUGAAAAAAUUAGAGUGCUCAAAGCAGGCUAAAAUGCCUGAAUAUUCGUGCAUGGAAUAAUAGAAUAGGAUGUCGAUCCUAUUUUGUUGGUUUUCGGGACUCGACAUAAUGAUAAAUAGGGACAGUCGGGGGCAUUUGUAUUCAAACGACAGAGGUGAAAUUCUUGGACCGUUUGAAGACAAACUACUGCGAAAGCAUUUGCCAAGAAUGUUUUCAUUAAUCAAAAACGAAAGUUAGAGGUUCGAAGGCGAUUAGAUACCGCCCUAGUUCUAACCAUAAACCGAUGCCAGCUA
rnacentral:rRNA from 1 species